GAACUUAAUUUAGAUAGUAUUUUAAAAACAUUCUCUUGUGUAACUAUGACAGCUUACUAAAAUUUAGAUGAACUAAGCAUCUGUAGACAGUGGCAAGCAGCAAGAGGUUCCCUACGCUAGGUCCACAGUGUUCAUUUAAAAAUACUUAUUUAUUAGGUACAAAGCAUUGAGUGUUAUGAAAAAGGUUAGUAGAUAUAAGUGGGUGUCUCUUUGUAGGUCUACUGAUACACAGGGGACGCCCCGUUUUUUUUAUGUCGCACUCACUCCAGCUUCUUGAUUUAGGGAGGGACACAUAGGGACUGUUGGUAGAUAGUACUGAUCAGACUUAAUCUUAAUAAAAGGGUAUCGGGGUUAGUAACAUGAUUAAGUAUGCAGACUUGAAGAACGUCCACUCCUCUCAAACUGCUGGGUAUAAUUCCUUGUGCAGUCUUCAGACAGAUUAUGUUUGUCUGGCCUCCUUCAGUAGCAAGGUGACUAUGUAUUCUCUCAUGCAAAUCAGAUUAAUGCCUGUGAUCGGAACGAGGUCAAUCAGCUUUUUUUACCCCUUUUCACGCAGAGUGAAUAGUUAAAGUGACGAUACAGUUUGGGAUCAUCAGCAUUGAAGGCUCUAGCAGGUUGAGUUCUGCAAGAUAUCCAAGGGUCCUGGUUUCUUAUCAGGGCUGACUCCUGAAGCCUUUCUCGAGUUCCUCAGAAUUGUUGUUGCCGAAAGCGGUACUGGAUUUAAGCAAUCCACUAAUUUUAAAAUGCUUCAAAUAGAACUGGUGGUGAAGAUUUUUUUUGUUUACUCUUGCCCCUUUUGUUAAGUAGCCCAAUAGUUUAAGCCAGUUUAAUAUGGUUCUAAUCAAAGUAUGUCAUGCUCAUAGUGUCGCAUCUGCAUCUGAGCUCCAGUGGCUGGGAGUGGUCCAAGCCAAACCAAAUAAAGCAAGUCACGACAAGAAAUGUGAACAUUGCAUUUCAACCAGAACACCAAAAUACAUUUUUGUGAUUUGAGUGUAACUCCUGAAUCCUUGGUGAAAAGCGAAAUAACUCUGUCUCGACUGUUGGUUAAAGGACUGAACAAGACUGUGGAUAUUCCAUUUGGAAGUGUCGUUCCCAGAGAGGCACACAUGAUAUUUGGGAACACAAUUGAAGUAAAUCCGGGAGAGGAUUUAGUCGAAAAUGUUUAUGAUUUAGACCCCGAACCAGUAAGGUCCAAAAAAUCAGGGGACAUCCAAUUGGCCGCUGCGAUAAAAGUUUCUGACAACAUGUUUUAGGUCAAUUCAACUUUAAAGCUCUUUUAACCGGUGAAGUGCUGUUUAAUUAUGGGCAGAAGAAUAUGAACAUUGGACAAAUUGUUGAUGACAUGAAAGAAUUUUAUACCCAAGAUUUGGCGGUCGUUGAGAUUGAGAGAUAUAACUAUAUUUUUUUCCAUUCAGCACCUACUGGCAUAUCCUGGACAAUAAAUGGAAACUGUAAGCUGACCUGGCAACCAAGCGCGGAGAUCAACUGGCGCUAAUCGAGAUAUUUACAAUCAUAUUCACGCAUGUCAUUGGUUUCUUUUUGGUUAUAAUCUGAAUGUACAAUUAGUCAAUUCUUCAUUGUUUACACUUUAAUUCAUUCACUAUAAUUUAUUUUUAUGUCAACCAAAAUGCUAAUGUACAUUAACAGUCCUUACUUUAUAAAUGUUUAGUAUUGCUUUGAACUAUAUGUUGUUUUUUUUUGUUGUUUUUUUUUGUAUAAUUAUAAU
rnacentral:sRNA from 1 species